UUGAAAACUAUCGAAGUGGCACGCGCGACAUGACCCGACCGGCGCAGUUGUAUUCUUAGAGUCCUCGAGAGGCCUCCGCGACGCAACGUCUUCUCAACACUUGAAAACCAUGAAAAUGACAUACUUAAUAGAUAGAAAUUGGUCGACCAUUCCGACUAAGAAUACGUGAGUGAAACCGUUUUGCUAUCUAGCAAUAAUGAUUGUUCCCGAAAACUUUCUUUAUGCACUUAAUUUAAAAUUCAUAUCAGAAUAUCUAUAUUAUCUUAACAUCAAUAUUAAGCUGACGUUUAGUCCAUUA